GCAAGUCGAACGAAGGCUCUAGCUUGCUAGAGUCCUUAGUGGCGGACGGGUGAGUAACGCGUGGGGAUUUGCCCUAGAGUGGGGAACAACAUUUGGAAACGAAUGCUAAUACCGCAUACGCCCUUUUGGGGAAAGGCUUCGGCCGCUCUUGGAUGAUCCCGCGUCUGAUUAGCUUGUUGGUAAGGUAAUGGCUUACCAAGGCGACGAUCAGUAGCUGGUUUGAGAGGAUGAUC
rnacentral:rRNA from 1 species